AUGCAACGUGGGUUAAGAAUCUUGAAGCUUGCUCCGCCUUCGAUAGUCUUGGUGCUGUCGCGUGCCCAGCCUCGCAUUUCUCCUCCUACAAGCUGGUGUCACAAGGAGACACCACUAGUGUUGCCCUCGAGGAAUGCCCUUAGAUUACGAUCCGACGAACCACCUUCCCCCAGAGCCUCCACGACCGCCCGCUUCCACUCUGACGCCGCGCGCCGUGCGCCCCCCGCGGCCUCGCCCUCCCGCAUCACCUCCUCCACACGCCGCCUCACCUCGGCAGCGCGCAGCACGCCGUCGCCGCCCACCUCCGCGCGCGCUCCCACGCGCCACUCGCACUCGACGAGCCACGCGUUCAUCCGCUGGUCCGACAUCUUCGGCACGCACACCAUCGGCACGCCGCACGCCACGCUCUCCAUCACGGAGUUCCACCCGCAGUGCGUCACGAAGCAGCCCACCGCCGCGUGCGACAGCACGCGCACUUGGUCGCACCACUCCACCACCAUGCCGUUCUUGAGCGGCGCGUCCAUCUCCGUCUCCGUCGCCUCGCCAUCCGCGAGCUCCGCCUUGAUGUCCUUCCGGACGACGCACAGGUACGGCCUCCCGGUGUCCUCGAGUCCGAGGAGCAGCUCGUCGAGCUGCUCCCUCUCCAUCCUCGCCAGGCUGCCGAACGCGACGUACACCACGGAGUCGGCCGGUUUGUCGUCGAGCCACUCCAUGUACUUGGCGCCGUCCUGCUUGAAGAGGCCGGCCUCGUCGCGGGACGGGAGCACCGGGCCGAUCGGCAGCGCGUCGUACGCUGCCACCGCGGCGAGCGCGCCCUCCUCGAGUUCCUGGCACGUGUUGACCAGCACGGUGGCUCUGGGGGUCUCCCUGUCGAGCGUGUCGAACAGGUCGCGGACGGUAGUGUACACGCUGUGGAAGAAGUCGGACGGGUCGGUGGAGUCGGUGAGGAAGGACGGGAGGUCCCGCACGGCCUGCGGCGGGAGGCCCGGGAAGCGCACGAGGAACGACGGGUCGUGGCGGUGGUCGGCCACGACGGCGGCGUGGCCAUGGAAGUAG
rnacentral:rRNA from 1 species